rnacentral:misc_RNA from 1 species
GUAGCAUAAGUUUUGAGAACAAUGAUUCUUCCAUAGGUAAACUUAUAGAAGCCUUAGUAUCCCAGCAAAGGGAGGCCACGCGACUAAAAAGAAUGUGGCCGUUUACUAGUUGACUCUUGGUCAGCAACACAACCAAACUGUUUGGGAACACCCAGGCCUCCUAAUCCUUUCUGUAGUAAUUACUGUUUAGGAUUAUAAACAUGGGUGACCCACAGCGAAUAUCUCUAGGCAUUUCAAAUGCUGUCAGGGA